GACGAACGCUGGCGGCGUGCCUAAUACAUGCAAGUAGAACGCUGAAGAGAGGAGCUUGCUCUUCUUGGAUGAGUUGCGAACGGGUGAGUAACGCGUAGGUAACCUGCCUUGUAGCGGGGGAUAACUAUUGGAAACGAUAGCUAAUACCGCAUAACAAUGGAUGACACAUGUCAUUUAUUUGAAAGGGGCAAUUGCUCCACUACAAGAUGGACCUGCGUUGUAUUAGCUAGUAGGUGAGGUAAUGGCUCACCUAGGCGACGAUACAUAGCCGACCUGAGAGGGUAAUCGGCCACACUGGGACUGAGACACGGCCCAGACUCCUACGGGAGGCAGCAGUAGGGAAUCUUCGGCAAUGGGGGCAACCCUGACCGAGCAACGCCGCGUGAGUGAAGAAGGUUUUCGGAUCGUAAAGCUCUGUUGUAAGUCAAGAACGGGUGUGAGAGUGGAAAGUUCACACUGUGACGGUAGCUUACCAGAAAGGGACGGCUAACUACGUG
rnacentral:rRNA from 1 species